rnacentral:rRNA from 1 species
AACGAACGCUGGCGGCAUGCCUAACACAUGCCAGUCGAACGAGACCUCCGGGUCUAGUGGCGCCCGGGUGCGUAACGCGUGGGAACCUGCCCUUAGGUUCGGAAUACCUCCCCGAAAGGGGUGCUAAUACCGGAUAAUGUCUUCGGACCAAAGAUUUAUCGCCUUUGGAUGGGCCCGCGUUGGAUUAGCUAGUUGUUAGGGUAAAAGCAUACCAAGGCGACGAUCCAUAGCUGGUCUGAGAGGAUGAUCAGCCACACUGGGACUGAGACACGGCCCAGACUCCUACGGGAGGAAGCAGUGGGGAAUAGUGGAAAAUGGGCGAAAGCCUGAUCCAGCAAUGCCGCGUGAGUGAUGAAGGCCUUAGGGUUGUAAAGCUCUUUUACCCGGGAUGAUAAUGACAGUACCGGGAGAAUAAGCUCCGGCUAACUCCGUG